rnacentral:rRNA from 1 species
UACGAAGGGGGCUAGCGUUGCUCGGAAUUACUGGGCGUAAAGGGCGCGUAGGCGGCACUGUUAGUCAGGCGUGAAAUUCCUGGGCUCAACCUGGGGACUGCGCUUGAUACGGCAGAGCUUGAGGAUGGAAGAGGGUCGCGGAAUUCCCAGUGUAGAGGUGAAAUUCGUAGAUAUCAAGCGGAACACCGGUGGCGAAGGCGGCCUUCUGGACAGUGACUGACGCUGAGACGCGAAAGCGUGGGGAGCAAACAGG